GACGAACGCUGGCGGCGUGCUUAACACAUGCAAGUGGAGCGACGAACCAGGGCUUGCCCUGGGGCAGAGCCGCGAACGGGUGAGUAACACGUGGGUAACGUGCCCCGAUGAUCGGGACAACCCGGGGAAACCCGGGCUAAUACCGAAUGUGCUCCCCUCACACCAGUGAGGGAUGGAAAGGAAGCUUCGGCCUCCGCAUCGGGAUCGGCCCGCGGCCCAUUAGCUUGUUGGUGAGGUAACGGCUCACCAAGGCUGCGAUGGGUAGCUGGUCUGAGAGGACGAUCAGCCACACUGGGACUGAGACACGGCCCAGACUCCUACGGGAGGCAGCAGUGGGGAAUCUUGCGCAAUGCGCGAAAGCGUGACGCAGCAACGCCGCGUGGGGAAGACGGCCUGG
rnacentral:rRNA from 1 species